rnacentral:rRNA from 1 species
CUACGGGCGGCACCAGUGGGGAAUCUUAGACAAUGGGCGCAAGCCUGAUCUAGCCAUGCCGCGUGAGUGAUGAAGGCCUUAGGGUCGUAAAGCUCUUUCGCCAGAGAUGAUAAUGACAGUAUCUGGUAAAGAAACCCCGGCUAACUCCGUGCCAGCAGCCGCGGUAAUACGGAGGGGGUUAGCGUUGUUCGGAAUUACUGGGCGUAAAGCGCACGUAGGCGGAUUAGAAAGUUAGGGGUGAAAUCCCGGGGCUCAACCUCGGAACUGCCUCUAAAACUCCUAGUCUAGAGUUCGAGAGAGGUGAGUGGAAUUCCAAGUGUAGAGGUGAAAUUCGUAGAUAUUUGGAGGAACACCAGUGGCGAAGGCGGCUCACUGGCUCGAUACUGACGCUGAGGUGCGAAGUGUGGGGAGCAAACAGGAUUAGAUACCCGGGUAGUC